UUCACAUCUUUGCCUCUGUGUGAUUUAAGACAAGUCACUUAACUGUGUUGUGUCUGAGUUUCCCUGUCAGAUGGGGACAACGCCCACCUCCUGGGUUACUGUUAAGACGAGGACUAUGACCACACGGGUCACACCAAACACAAUACUUGGCCCAGCUGCUCCCCCUGCCUCGCCGCAGAAAUCGCCUGUCCCAUGCAUGAAGAGCACCUCAUCAGCAAACUCUGACCCAAGCACUCAGAAUAAGCCUUCUUUGUUCAGGCUGGCCUUGAACUCACUAUGUAGCCCAGGCUGGCCUUGAAUUCAAGGCAAUCCUCCUGCCUCAGUGCUGGGAUUACAGGUGCUGAGGAUCUCAGCUCCGUCUUGAAUUUUGUAACUACAGGAAUAAAUGUUUAAAGUACCUGGGUGUGGUUUGCUAACACAAUUAAAAAAUUUUUUGAGGGGGCAACCCACUUUCUAGUCCCUUCUGUCUCUUAGACAGCAGCUUUCUCUCAGUACAAUUUUCCUCUUAAACUGAAAAAAAAAAAAAAAAGAAAUUUUUUUUUUUGAGACAGGGUCUCACUAUGCUGUCCAGGCUGGCCUCAAACUUUCCAUCCUCCUGGCUCAGCCUCUCGUCACUGGGACUGCAGGAAUACACCACCAGGCCUGGCAACCAACACACUGGGACAGUAUCUGUCACAGGAUAAACUCAAUAUUAAGUUUAUUAAAUCAAUGAC
rnacentral:lncRNA from 1 species